rnacentral:misc_RNA from 1 species
CUAAGGAGUUUUAUUGUUUUUGUUUUCCAGUUGGACGCAUGCCCUGGUUUUUUUUGAAGGUUGUGUAUCAUAGCGUGGGUUGUCAUCAUACUGUUGGGUGUCUGGCGCAGCAUGGUUGUUGUGUUGGUGUGUGAGAACUGUAUAGUGGACGCGUGUUUUUUUGUUUUUCUUGUUGUUAGUAUUUUUGUGUU